rnacentral:rRNA from 1 species
AGGCUUAACACAUGCAAGUCGAGGGGCAUCAGGAAGAAAGCUUGCUUUCUUUGCUGGCGACCGGCGCACGGGUGAGUAACACGUAUCCAACCUGCCCUUUACUCGGGGAUAGCCUUUCGAAAGAAAGAUUAAUACCCGAUGGCAUAAUGAUUCCGCAUGGUUUCAUUAUUAAAGGAUUCCGGUAAAGGAUGGGGAUGCGUUCCAUUAGGUUGUUGGUGAGGUAACGGCUCACCAAGCCUUCGAUGGAUAGGGGUUCUGAGAGGAAGGUCCCCCACAUUGGAACUGAGACACGGUCCAAACUCCUACGGGAGGCAGCAGUGAGGAAUAUUGGUCAAUGGGCGCUAGCCUGAACCAGCCAAGUAGCGUGAAGGAUGAAGGCUCUAUGGGUCGUAAACUUCUUUUAUAUAAGAAUAAAGUGCAGUAUGUAUACUGUUUUGUAUGUAUUAUAUGAAUAAGGAUCGGCUAACUCCGUGCCAGCAGCCGCGGUAAUACGGAGGAUCCGAGCGUUAUCCGGAUUUAUUGGGUUUAAAGGGAGCGUAGGUGGACUGGUAAGUCAGUUGUGAAAGUUUGCGGCUCAACCGUAAAAUUGCAGUUGAUACUGUCAGUCUUGAGUACAGUAGAGGUGGGCGGAAUUCGUGGUGUAGCGGUGAAAUGCUUAGAUAUCACGAAGAACUCCGAUUGCGAAGGCAGCUCACUGGACUGCAACUGACACUGAUGCUCGAAAGUGUGGGUAUCAAACAGGAUUAGAUACCCUGGUAGUCCACACAGUAAACGAUGAAUACUCGCUGUUUGCGAUAUACAGUAAGCGGCCAAGCGAAAGCAUUAAGUAUUCCACCUGGGGAGUACGCCGGCAACGGUGAAACUCAAAGGAAUUGACGGGGGCCCGCACAAGCGGAGGAACAUGUGGUUUAAUUCGAUGAUACGCGAGGAACCUUACCCGGGCUUAAAUUGCAGUGGAAUGAUGUGGAAACAUGUCAGUGAGCAAUCACCGCUGUGAAGGUGCUGCAUGGUUGUCGUCAGCUCGUGCCGUGAGGUGUCGGCUUAAGUGCCAUAACGAGCGCAACCCUUAUCUUUAGUUACUAACAGGUUAUGCUGAGGACUCUAGAGAGACUGCCGUCGUAAGAUGUGAGGAAGGUGGGGAUGACGUCAAAUCAGCACGGCCCUUACGUCCGGGGCUACACACGUGUUACAAUGGGGGGUACAGAAGGCAGCUAGCGGGUGACCGUAUGCUAAUCCCAAAAGCCUCUCUCAGUUCGGAUCGAAGUCUGCAACCCGACUUCGUGAAGCUGGAUUCGCUAGUAAUCGCGCAUCAGCCACGGCGCGGUGAAUACGUUCCCGGGCCUUGUACACACCGCCCGUCAAGCCAUGGGAGCCGGGGGUACCUGAAGUACGUAACCGCAAGGAUCGUCCUAGGGUAAAACUGGUGACUGGGGCUAAGUCAU